rnacentral:rRNA from 1 species
UGGGGAAUAUUGGACAAUGGGGGAAACCCUGAUCCAGCGACGCCGCGUGAGUGAAGAAGUAUUUCGGUAUGUAAAGCUCUAUCAGCAGGGAAGAAAAUGACGGUACCUGACUAAGAAGCCCCGGCUAACUACGUGCCAGCAGCCGCGGUAAUACGUAGGGGGCAAGCGUUAUCCGGAUUUACUGGGUGUAAAGGGAGCGUAGACGGUUCUGCAAGUCUGGAGUGAAAGCCCGGGGCUCAACCCCGGGACUGCUUUGGAAACUGUGGAACUAGAGUGCAGGAGAGGUAAGUGGAAUUCCUAGUGUAGCGGUGAAAUGCGUAGAUAUUAGGAGGAACACCAGUGGCGAAGGCGGCUUACUGGACUGUAACUGACGUUGAGGCUCGAAAGCGUGGGGAGCAAACA